AUUGAACGCUGGCGGCAGGCUUAACACAUGCAAGUCGAGCGGUAACAGUCCUUCGGGAGCUGACGAGCGGCGGACGGGUGAGUAAUGCAUAGGAAUCUACCUAGUAGUGGGGGAUAACGUUCGGAAACGGGCGCUAAUACCGCAUAAUUCCCACGGGGGAAAGCAGGGGCUCUUAGGACCUUGCGCUAUUAGAUGAGCCUAUGUCGGAUUAGCUAGUUGGUAGGGUAAAAGCCUACCAAGGCGACGAUCCGUAGCUGGUUUGAGAGGAUGAUCAGCCACACUGGGACUGAGACACGGCCCAGACUCCUACGGGAGGCAGCAGUGGGGAAUAUUGGACAAUGGGCGCAAGCCUGAUCCAGCCAUGCCGCGUGUGUGAAGAAGGCCUUAGGGUUGUAAAGCACUUUCAUUGAGGAGGAAGGCCAUUUAGUUUAAUACCUAAGUGGAUUGACGUUACUCAAAGAAG
rnacentral:rRNA from 1 species